rnacentral:rRNA from 1 species
AACGAACGCUGGCGGCAUGCCUAACACAUGCAAGUCGAACGAAGCCUUCGGGCUUAGUGGCGCACGGGUGCGUAACGCGUGGGAAUCUGCCCUUGGGUUCGGAAUAACAGUUAGAAAUGACUGCUAAUACCAGAUGAUGUCUUCGGACCAAAGAUUUAUCGCCCAAGGAUGAGCCCGCGUAGGAUUAGGUAGUUGGUGGGGUAAUGGCCCACCAAGCCGACGAUCCCUAGCUGGUCCGAGAGGAUGAUCAGCCACACUGGGACUGAGACACGGCCCAGACUCCUACGGGAGGCAGCAGUGGGGAAUAUUGGACAAUGGGCGAAAGCCUGAUCCAGCAAUGCCGCGUGAGUGAUGAAGGCCUUAGGGUUGUAAAGCUCUUUUACCAGGGAUGAUAAUGACAGUACCUGGAGAAUAAGCUCCGGCUAACUCCGUGCCAGCCGCCGCAGUAACAC